CAGUCGCCGCGGUAAAACGUAGGUGGCGAGCGUUGUCCGGAAUUAUUGGGCGUAAAGGGCUCGCAGGCGGUUUCUUAAGUCUGAUGUGAAAGCCCCCGGCUCAACCGGGGAGGGUCAUUGGAAACUGGGAAACUUGAGUGCAGAAGAGGAGAGUGGAAUUCCACGUGUAGCGGUGAAAUGCGUAGAGAUGUGGAGGAACACCAGUGGCGAAGGCGACUCUCUGGUCUGUAACUGACGCUGAGGAGCGAAAGCGUGGGGAGCGAACAGGAUUAGAUACCCGCGUAGUCCCUGUCUCUUAUAC
rnacentral:rRNA from 1 species